rnacentral:tRNA from 1 species
AUUUAAAUAGCUUAUGUAAGAGCAUGAUAGUGAAGUUAUCAGGGAAAAUUUAUAUUUUUUAAAUA